rfam:Oryza sativa Japonica Group DNA, chromosome 2, cultivar: Nipponbare, complete sequence.
AAAAAAACAAACCCUAAAUUUCUAUGUCCAACUUUAACUGUCCGUCUUAUAUGAAAAUUUUUUAUAAUUCGUAUUUUCAUUGAUGUUUGAUGAUAAAACAUGAUUAAUAUUUUAUGUGUGACUUGUCUUUUUAAUUUUUUUUUCAUAAUUUUUUUAAAUAAGACGGACGGUCAAAUGUUGAACAUGGAAACUAUGGCUUGUCUUUUU